AAAAAAAAAAACUAGGAACAUUGCCCCUGUCCUUUUAAAGUUUGGUUUAUUAGCUAGGUGGAGAAGAAAACAAAAGAUAAAAGGAAGAGGAUGACCUAACCAUUAUGGAACUUUUAUAAUAAUGUUUAGAUAUGUUGUUAUGUGUUCAACAAGGGUCCCAUGAAGUGUUACUUCAUAUAAUUUAGCAUGUUUAAAUCUUGCAUAUGUGUCGAAGUAUGAUUGGGCUUAAUAAAUUUUGUAAAUGAAGCCAUCUU
rnacentral:lncRNA from 1 species